UACAGAGGUCCCAAGCGUUGUUCGGAUUCACUGGGCGUAAAGGGCGCGUAGGCGGAUCUUUAAGUCGGGGGUGAAAGCCCAGGGCUCAACCCUGGAAUUGCCUUCGAUACUGGAGAUCUUGAGACCGGAAGAGGUAAGUGGAACUGCGAGUGUAGAGGUGAAAUUCGUAGAUAUUCGCAAGAACACCAGUGGCGAAGGCGGCUUACUGGUCCGGUUCUGACGCUGAGGCGCGAAAGCGUGGGGAGCAAACAGG
rnacentral:rRNA from 1 species